GUGCUGUUUUGGCAGCACACACACUAAAACUGGAAUAAUGAGGAGAAGAUUAGCAUGACCCCUGAGCAAGGAUAACAGAAAUUCAUGACGAGUGGCAUAAAAAA
ensembl:snRNA U6 U6 spliceosomal RNA